rnacentral:rRNA from 1 species
UACGGGGGGGGGUAAGCGUUGUUCGGAAUUACUGGGCGUAAAGGGCUCGUAGGCGGCCAACUAAGUCAGACGUGAAAUCCCCAGGCUCAACCUGGGAACUGCGUCUGAUACUGGAUGGCUUGAAUUCGGGAGAGGGAUGCAGAAUUCCAGGUGUAGCGGUGAAAUGCGUAGAUAUCUGGAGGAAUACCGGUGGCGAAGGCGGCAUCCUGGACCGACAUUGACGCUGAUGAGCGAAAGCUAGGGGAGCAAACGGG